rnacentral:misc_RNA from 1 species
AACGCACAUUGCGCCCGCUAGCUCUCUAGCGGGCAUGCCUGUCCGAGCGUCAUUUCACCGAUAGAGCCCCCGGGCUUGCGUUGGGAUGCCACGGCCUCCAGGGCCGUGUGUCCCGAAAUACAGUGGCGGACCCGCCCGACCCUCAGCGUAGUAAUAAUCAUCUCGCUUCAGGGCCUCGGCGCGGGUAGCUUGCCCCUAAACCCCGGCGGCGGGCGCUGCGGCGCCCCCCCGAGACACACUGGUUGACCUCGGAUCAGGUAGGAAUACCCGCUGAACUUAAGC